rnacentral:rRNA from 1 species
UACGUAGGGGGCGAGCGUUGUCCGGAUUUAUUGGGCGUAAAGAGCGUGUAGGCGGUUCGGUAAGUCUGUCGUGAAAUCCUGAGGCUCAACCUCGGAGGUGCGAUGGAUACUGCCGGGCUAGAGGGUGGUAGAGGCGAGUGGAAUUCCCGGUGUAGCGGUGAAAUGCGCAGAGAUCAGGAGGAACACCGGUGGCGAAGGCGGUUCUCUGGGCAUUACCUGACGCUGAGGAGCGAAAGUGUGGGGAGCGAACAGG